UACGAAGGGUGCUAGCGUUGUUCGGAAUCACUGGGCGUAAAGCGCGCGUAGGUGGCUAUGCAAGUCAGGGGUGAAAUCCCACAGCUCAACUGUGGAACUGCCUUUGAAACUGCAUAGCUUGAGUGUCGGAGGGGAUAGCGGAAUUGCUAAUGUAGAGGUGAAAUUCGUAGAUAUUAGCAGGAACACCGGUGGCGAAGGCGGCUAUCUGGACGACUACUGACACUGAGGCGCGAAAGUGUGGGGAUCAAACAGG
rnacentral:rRNA from 1 species